GCAUUAGAAAACUUUAUCCACAUCCCUUCAUUGGCUCUUGGAGCCACUGAAGAGCCUCCUUAUCCUCCCUCCUGCCCACCUUUCCUUCUACUCCAAGAGGCCCCUCUGGCUCUGACUCGUUUGCCAUCGACUAUAGUCCCCACCUCCCUCCUUCCCUCUCCCAAACUCUUCCCUCAAAUAACGAGAGAGAGAGAGAGAGAG
rnacentral:lncRNA from 1 species